rnacentral:rRNA from 1 species
GCUUAGUUACGGCGAGUGAAGCGGCAAAAGCUCAAAUUUGAAAUCUGGCACCUUCGGUGUCCGAGUUGUAAUUUGAAGAAGGUAACUUUGGAGUUGGCUCUUGUCUAUGUUCCUUGGAACAGGACGUCACAGAGGGUGAGAAUCCCGUGCGAUGAGAUGCCCAAUUCUAUGUAAAGUGCUUUCGAAGAGUCGAGUUGUUUGGGAAUGCAGCCUCUAAGUGGGUGGUAAAUUCCAUCUAAAGCUAAAUAUUGGCGAGAGACCGAUAGCGAACAAGUACAGUGAUGGAAAGAUGAAAAGAACUUUGAAAAGAGAGUGAAAAAGUACGUGAAAUUGUUGAAAGGGAAGGGCUUGAGAUCAGACUUGGUAUUUUGCGAUCCUUUCCUUCUUGGUUGGGUUCCUCGCAGCUUACUGGGCCAGCAUCGGUUUGGAUGGUAGGAUAAUGACUAAGGAAUGUGGCUCUACUUCGGUGGAGUGUUAUAGCCUUGGUUGAUACUGCCUGUCUAGACCGAGGACUGCGUCUUUUGACUAGGAUGUUGGCAUAAUGAUCUUAAGCCACCCAUCUU